UUCGGUCGUACUGGUGUUACUGAUUUCUACCUUCUGACGAACCGUCAUGUCAUUAAUUUGGUGUGGUGGGGAAUCAGGACUGUUACUUUGAAAAAAUUAGAGUGUUUAAAGCAGGCUCGCGCUUGAAUACAUUAGCAUGGAAUAAUGAAAUAGGACGUUGAUCCUAUUUUGUUGGUUUCUAGGAUUGACGUAAUGAUUAAUAGGGAUAGUUGGGGGCAUUAGUAUUCAAUUGUCGGAGGUGAAAUUCUUGGAUUUAUUGAAGACUAACUACUGCGAAAGCAUUUGCCAAGGAUGUUUUCAUUAAUCAAGAACGAAAGUUAGGGGAUCGAAGACGAUCACAUACCGUCGUAGUCUUAACCAUAAACUAUGCCGACUAGGGAUCGGAUGAUGUUAUUUUUAAGGACUCAUUCGGCGCCUUACG
rnacentral:rRNA from 1 species